AUCCUUCAGAUUCCUGAGUCAUAAAACCCAAACACUGAUCUUAUAGAUUUUAAAAGGAGAAAAAGUAAAAUUGAAGCUGACUUAAUUUUCUUAUGACACACAAGCUAGUUUAAGAUUGUG
rnacentral:snoRNA from 1 species